UAUUGCACAAUGGGGGGAACCCUGAUGCAGCAACGCCGCGUGGAGGAUGACGCAUUUCGGUGUGUAAACUCCUUUUAUAUGUCAAGAAAAUGACGGUAGCAUAUGAAUAAGCACCGGCUAACUCCGUGCCAGCAGCCGCGGUAAUACGGAGGGUGCAAGCGUUACUCGGAAUCACUGGGCGUAAAGGACGCGUAGGCGGGCUUGUAAGUCAGGUGUGAAAUCCUACAGCUUAACUGUAGAACUGCACUUGAAACUACUAGUCUAGAGUAUGGGAGGGGGAGAUGGAAUUAGUGGGGUAGGGGUAAAAUCCGUAGAUAUCACUAGGAAUACCUAAAGCGAAGGCGAUCUCCUGGAACAUUACUGACGCUAAGGCGUGAAAGCGUGGGGAGCAAACAGG
rnacentral:rRNA from 1 species